CUACGGGUCGCUGCAGUGGGGAAUAUUGCACAAUGGGCGCAAGCCUGAUGCAGCCAUGCCGCGUGUAUGAAGAAGGCCUUCGGGUUGUAAAGUACUUUCAGCGGGGAGGAAGGGAGUAAAGUUAAUACCUUUGCUCAUUGACGUUACCCGCAGAAGAAGCACCGGCUAACUCCGUGCCAGCAGCCGCGGUAAUACGGAGGGUGCAAGCGUUAAUCGGAAUUACUGGGCGUAAAGCGCACGCAGGCGGUUUGUUAAGUCAGAUGUGAAAUCCCCGGGCUCAACCUAGGAACUGCAUCUGAUACUGGCAAGCUUGAGUCUCGUAGAGGGAGGUAGAAUUCCAGGUGUAGCGGUGACAUGCGUAGAGAUCUGGAGGAAUACCGGUGGCGAAGGCGGCCCCCUGGACGAAGACUGACGAUCAGGUGCGAAAGCGUGGGGAGCAAACAGGAUUAGAUUCCCCAGUAGUC
rnacentral:rRNA from 1 species